UGGCGAACGGGUGAGUAACACGUGGGUAACCUUGCCCAUCAGAAGGGGAUAACACUUGGAAACAGGUGCUAAUACCGUAUAACACUAUUUUCCGCAUGGAAGAAAGUUGAAAGGCGCUUUUGCGUCACUGAUGGAUGGACCCGCGGUGCAUUAGCUAGUUGGUGAGGUAACGGCUCACCAAGGCAACGAUGCAUAGCCGACCUGAGAGGGUGAUCGGCCACACUGGGACUGAGACACGGCCCCAGACUCCUACGGGAGGCAGCCAGUAGGGGAAUCUUUCGGGCAAAUGGGACGAAAAGUUCUGGACCCGAAGCAAACCGCCCGGCGUGAAGUGAAAGGAAAGGUUUUUCGGGAUUCGUAAAAACUCUGGUG
rnacentral:rRNA from 1 species